UACAGAGGUGGCAAGCGUUGUUCGGAAUUACUGGGCGUAAAGCGCGUGUAGGCGGCUCUUCAAGUCAGGCGUGAAAGCCCCCGGGCUCAACUCGGGAACUGCGCUUGAUACUGUCGAGCUAGAGUGUGGAAGGGGCGAUUGGAAUUCCGUGUGUAGCGGUGAAAUGCGUAGAUAUACGGAGGAACACCAGAGGCGAAGGCGGAUCGCUGGGCCAACACUGACGCUGAGACGCGAAAGCUAGGGUAGCAAACGGG
rnacentral:rRNA from 1 species